rnacentral:lncRNA from 1 species
UUUCAUCACCUCCUUGGCCAUUGCGGCUGAGGAAAUGACUAUGGUCGGGACUUCGCCGAGCUGCAAGGACAUGAUUGGCCCGUACUUUCUCGCGAGGCGAUGGAGAGAUAUGUGUGGCGAUUUGCCAAGCUGGUGAAGAUUGCCGAUGAUUGGCAACUUAGGAGGGCUCGGUGGGAGGUUGCUCUUUCUUUUCCUAGACUUGCUCCUCAAGAGAACUAUCAGCAAAGCUGCUACGACCAAGCACGUUGGGAGAAACAGUUGUUGAAGGAGAGCCAUUGCAAAAUAUGUGAUAUUGCUAAACUGUACUUCUUAUUUGAUUCCUACUUAGUUUUUAUACACGGACGUCACUGAAUCCAUCUGAUUUGCUGGUCUUUUUGUUUUUUUCAUUGUCGUCAAUGUCAGUCAUUUAAAAAAGAAUUGUACACAUUUUCUUGUAAAUAUAUGAUCCAUUCGGCCAGGACAAAGACAUUCACUUGCAAAUUUGGUGUCCCGAGGUCGAAUUUUUAAUGCUUUUCUGACUAAUCAUUAGAGAUGCCCCAGUUAACAAGAGAUUAUCUUGCUUGAGCAAGUCGCUGCUUGAUAGAUAUCUGCUACACAAUAAUCACGUUGUUAGAUCUUUAUUUAAUGUUUUAAGUGAUUGAGGAAAUCAAAAGGACGACUGAUGAAUCUCUCCUUUUUUUUUUUUCUGUUUAAUGUUUUAAUAUCCUUCUCGCCUGCUUGUCGACUAAUAAUGCUAGGAAAUAAGCUGAUUCGCCCUUCAAUCUUGAGUACCUCCAAAGUGGAAAAUCACCAGAUGUUGGACUUUCCUGACUAUCUUAACAAUUUUGUCGUAAAGAACAAAGAGAAAAUCUGAUUCUCCAACGUCAUCCACAUGAAUAUGGUCAUUGUCCGAAAAAUACGAAACAUAGAAUCAUUGAUCUUCAUGAUUCUCACGAUAAGAGGGAUGGAGACAUACUUUUAUCCAUAAUGAUACCCUUGAAGAUAAUUGUCGCGGAAAACCGAAAAAAUGAAGAAAUAUGAUUUCUCUCCCUUAACUCACUUUUCCCUUAAAGUAUUAUGUCUGAUUGGAUUAUGUCUGAUUGGAGGAUGGAAUACAAUGUUCUUUUCACAUCGUGGGUGGAAAGAUAUAUAUAUAUAUAUAUAUAUAUAUAUAUAUAUAUAUAUAUAUAUAUAGAUAUAUGCCACAUGGAAAGAUAUAUAUAUAGAUGCGACACGCGCGCGCGCGCGCACACAUGUAUAUAUUAUCAAUGGGUGCUUUCACACACACACACACACACACACACAUGUAUAUAUUAUCAAGGGAUGCCUUCUAUCAAAGCACCCAUUAACUUUCAUGAGACUUGCACCUCUUCAUAGAAAAAUGGUAACUUCUCAAUGAGGAUUGUAUGCUUUCAUUAGAAUCGUAACUUCUCAUAGCCAAUCUAUUUAUUAAACCAUUAAUUAUUAAAAUCAUGUGGAUCACACCUUAAUUCUUACAUUCUCCCACUUGACCCAUACGACAUUCCUUUCAUGGUUUAAUAAAGACCACAAUGUGCACAACAAGAUAAUGCUAAAAUUUUCCUUAAAUUGGCUAUUACAUAAUAAUCACAAUUACGUAAAGAAAACUAAUGCGAGUCAUGACGAUCGUAUGUCAUUAAUCCACAUAGUCCCUUCCAUGUAUGACAACAUAGUUCUCUACUUAACAUGAUCUAUAAAUGAGAAGUACAGUAAUGAUCCAAUCAUAAUGUCUUUGUUAGAGACUAUCCUAUUUGACAUUAAUUUAUUUCCAUAAUGUAUACUAAAUAGAAAAUAGGAAAAAUCAUAAAUGCAUAAUUGAGCUUAGAGUGUCAAAUACAUAAACUUAAUGCAAUCAUAUUACAACAAUUAAUGAUGUCCAAUAAUGUUCAUCUUUUCAACAUUGUCAUUAAAUGUCUUGGGUGGCAGUUUUUUUGUUAAGGGAUUUGCUAUCAUAAGGUUGGUGUUAAUAUGCUCGAUCGACACUAUCUAUUUCUAAACUUCUUUAAUGGAUAAGUAUUUGAUUUCCAUAUGCUUAGCACCCUUACAAUACUGGUCAUUCUUUAAGAAGAAAACUGUAGAGGAGUUAUCACAAUAAAUUUUCAGUGGCUUGGCAAUACUGUCAACAAUCACAACCCCUGAAAUAAAGUUCCAUAGUCAUAAUCCAUGAAUAGUCAUCUCAAGAUGAUUGGAUCUUUUAUAAGUGACAUACGAUUCUUCGUUCUUUGCAAAUAUCUUAGAACUUUCUUUACAGCUUUCGAAUGGUCCAAUUCAGGGUCACUUUGAUACCUGCCCAGCAUCUCGAUAGCAAAGCUAAUGUUUGGUCUGGUGCAAGUUUGAGCAUAUAUUAAGCUCCCAAUUAUAAAUGCAUAAUGAAUACUUUUCAUUUGUUCUUGCUCCAAUUCACUUUUUGAACAUUACAUAAGACUAAAUUUAUCACUUUUCUGAACUGGAACUAAUCCUGCUGAACAUCUAUACAUCUUAAAUCUCUCUAAAAUUUUCUUAAUGUAGGCUUUUAAAGACAAUUCUAACAAUUCUUGUGAUCUAUCACGAAAUAUUUUUAUUCCUAUCACAUACGUUGCUUCUCCCAUAUCUUUCAUUCCAAAAUUCUUAGAGAGAAACUUCUUGAUUUUAUAUAACAAACCAAGAUCAUUAGUAGUAAGCAAAAUAUCGUCAACAUAGAGAACUAGCAAAAUAAACUUGCUCCCACUAACCUUUAUAUAUACACACUGAUCAAUGAUGUUUUUGUUAAUUCUAUAUGAAGUUAUUGUAUCAUUAAACUUAAGAUAUCAUUGUUGGGAAACUUGUUUAAGUCCAUAUGUUGAUUUGUUUAAUUUACACACUAUGUGUUCCUUUCCUUUAAUUGAAAAACAUUUAGGUUGGUCCAUAUAAAUCUAUUCUUCUAAAUUUCCAUUAAGAAAUGCGGUUCUGACACCCAUUUAGUGUAAUUCUAAAUAAUAAUGAGCCACCAACGCCAUAAUAAUUCUAAGUAAGUCUUUCUUGGAAACUGGUAAAAAUAUCUCCUUAUAGUUUUUUUUUUGGUAAAGAAAUACCUCCUUAUAGUUAAUGCCUUCUUUAUGAGUAAAACUUUUAGCAACAAGUCUAGCCUUAUAUUGCUCGAUAUCGUCUUUUGAAUCGCGCUUGAUCUUAAAGACCCAUUUAUACAGGACAUUUUUACAUCAUUUAAGCAAUUCAACAAGGUCAUAAACUUGAUUUUGAUGCAUAGAUUUUAAAUCUUGUUUUAUAGCAUUAAACCAUUCAUUAGAAUUUUCACAUUCCAUGACUUGAGAAAAUGAACUUGUAUCGUUUUCAAUUCUUAAGUCAAUUAUUUACUGUUAUAGAUAAACCACAUAAUCAUAAGAAAUAACUGAUGUCCUUUUUCAUUGAGAUCUUCUUAAUGCUCUUUCUUGUGGUUAAAUUACCAUAAGUUUAAUGUUGACAUCUUCAUUAUGGAGUGUUUGAUCAUUCAUUUGUUGUUCUUGAUUAUUGUUGGGUUGAAAUGUAAUAUCGGAACAACUUUAGCAGUGUUUGGUAUAGGAACUUCUACCCUUACUUCUUGAAUGUGAGUAUCAUGCAUUCUAUCACUCUUAAUGAUGUAAAUCAGAUUGAUCCCUAAAUCCCAGAUUUUAUGCUUUCUCUAUUUUCUCGUGUUAAUGCAUCUCUGAUAAAUUUUUGGCGAACACCAAUUAAAAAAUAGUAAGAAACCCUAUUUCUUCAUAUGACUUAUUAUAUGAGCUUAAGCCCCUUUAGGCUUGCUAUUCAUUGGGCUUCCUCCACAUGAGAGUGAACCCAGCUAACAAAUCUUCUCCUCAUGACAAUGUGGAGGGAUUUAUCAUCCCUGUUAUCAAUUGAUGAUGUUCAAGCUUUUCCCUUGGUAGAAUCUCCGUCAUCUUAUCGGAACCAUUAUGAUCCGUAUGAAUUUUCACAAGUUCCAACAGCUUCUCAUCUAGAACGUCCUUUAUCCAAUGAUAUCUAACAUCAAUGUGUUUUGAUCUAGAAUGGGAAGAUGAAUUCUUACUAAGAUGAAUUGCGCUUUGGUUGUCACAAAAUAACAUAUACCGCUUUUGCCUGAACCUUAGUUCUUCUAAGAACUUCUUCAGCCAUAACAUAUCUUUAUUAGCUUCAGUCGCUGCAAUAAAUUUAGCUUCUAUUGUGGAAAGUGCAACACAUUUCUACAAUCUUGACUUCCAUGACACAACCCCACCAGAAAAAAAAAUUAAAUAACUAGAAAUAAAUUUAUGAAUAUCAAUAUCUCCUGCCAAGUUAGAAUCUAUGUAUCCAACUAACUCAAGUUUCUCGGUCCCAAAAUUGAGUUUUAAACUGGAAGUCCCCCAAAGAUAGUUCAUGAUCCAUUUUAUUGCAUUCCAGUGCUCUUUACCUAGAUUUAACAAAUAACGACUGACAAUGCCAAUUGCAUGUGCUAAGUCUAGACAUGUGCAUACCAUCGCAUACAUAAGCUUCAUAUUGCUGAAGCAUAUGGAACUCUUUCCAUGUCCUUUUUUUCUUUAUCAGUUAUAGGACUUUACUUUGUAUUUAACUUAAAGUGGGUAGCAAGAGUAGUACUAACCACUUUAGAUUUGUCCACGUAAAAUUUCUGAAAAAUCUUCUCGAUAUGCUUCUCUUGCGAAAGGAACAACUUCUUAGCACCUCUGUCUUGGGUAAUUCUAAUGCCUAGAAUUUGCUUUUUUGCACCUAAGUCUUUCACAACAAAAGACUUAUUCAAUUGCUUCUUUAACAACUCAAUUUGUGAAGCUUUCCUACCAACAAUCAGCAUAUCAUCAACAUAAUGUAAGAAAAUAACAAAGUCAUAAUCAGAAAAUUAUUGGACAAACACACAGUUAUUCGACGAAAUCUUUUUAUAGCCCUGUUCCAUCACAAUUGACAUAAACUCUUUGUAUCACUAUCUCCAUUCUUUCUUUAGGCCAUAGCGACUCUUUUUCAAUUUGCACACAUAGUCCUCUUUCCUUUUUACUUUGAAACCCUUUAAUUUUUAUAUCUCUUCUUCCAAGUCACCAUGUAAGAAUGUUAUCUUGACAUCCAUCUGCUCAAUCUCCAAAUCAAGGCUAGCUACCAAGUCUAGUACUACAUGGAUAGAAGACAUUUUCACCAUUGGAAAAAACCAUAUCAUCAAAGUCAAUGCCCUUUCUCUAACCGAAUCCCUUAACAACCAAUCUAGCUUUGUAUCAUGGUUGUGAAGUAUAUUUAUCUUGUUUCAGCCUAUACACCCACUCAUUCUUCAAAGUUCUUUUGCCUUUAGGCAACUUCACCAGGUUGGAAGUAUAAUUAUUAUAAAGUGACUACAUUUCAUCUUGCAUAGCAUCAAGCCAUUUACUUUUACACUCAUCUUCUAUUGCUUUCGCAUAACACUCCGAUUCACUUACAUCAAUCAAUAAUACAUAUUCAUCUUCAUAUAUCUAGUGGAAGGUCGUCGAUCUUUAAUGGAUCUCCGAACUGGAACAUACAGUGGGGCAACUAAUGGAGCUUCUAACUUAGGAAUAAUGUUAUCUGUUUCAAAAUGUUUAGGGACAUGUUCAUUAUCUGGAAUGUUCACUUCUUACUGCUCCUCAUCAACCUAUGUAGGAAUAUGUGUGGGAGGAACUAGAUCCAAGUCAACCAAAUCAUAUGUGACAUCCUGAAAUUCGAUGUCCCGAUAAUAUGAAAUGGUUGUUUUGUUAACACACCUAUGGUCAUUUUACUCUAAGUUGGGCCCCUCACGAGUUAACUAAUCUAUUAGAUUAGACCAUUAAGGGAUAUAAAUGCAACAGACUUGAGAAUUCGAUCAGAAAUCGACUGCUCGACCAUAAUAAUCAGUAAGGGUCAAUACGGCACCAUUAUAAUCGAUUAGUGAUCGGAUAUAGGUCGAUUUGACGGAAUCACGUAAUUGAAUUGCGGGUGAUUCCACAUGAUUGCGAAAUUCGCGUUGAACGGCACUAACCCGAUUUUCUGUCGAUUUUAUACUCGAGACACGUAAUUGAAACUUUACGAUUUUUAUGACAACUGAAAGUCAUCUACGAGUCGGAGAUGUACAAACAUGGCUAAAAAAUUAUCGAUCAUGGGUCAAAUGCACUAAAAUCCCUAAAAGCUACUUGAUAGGUUAGAUUGUACUAAAAUUGUGUUCGGUCAAUUUUAACCAUGAAAUUGAAUUCGGUUUUGGGAAUCGAAUGUUCGAGCGUGUCACGAUUCAUUUUUAGAACGUCGUUUCAUCUUUCGGAGAAAUUCCGUCGAGCUCAGAAUUUUGUGGAAAAAUCAAUUUCGGACAAUUCGGAAAAGAAAUAGAAAUUCAAAUGGGCUGAUUUACUUGGUUAUUUGGCCACCAAAAUGCUUUAAUUUGUGAGGAAUUGGAGGACAAAUAGCCAUUGGAGUGGUGCUUGACUAAUUGGCAUGAAGACCUUGGGGCUUAGACACUUGAGUGCAAAGAUAUUUCUAUAGGCUUCCUAUUGGCCUUGGCCUUGACUUCCCAUCUCUUCCCUCUCUCCUCCAAUGCGAGCAGCCCACACUAGCAGAGGCCAACUCCAAUUUCUUCUCCAUUUCCUUUCUUCUGCCCACUUCUUCCUCACGCCUUCUUUUCUCCUUCACCCCUUCACGCCAACCUGCUUUUCUUCCUUUUUGUUGCUGCACCACCCAACCUUACGCAUCCACCAUCUCAUCCCCAUCUCCACCUUGCUGCCAUAGCCCACACGUCCACCACUCCAACACCACUUACCCUCACGCCAACGUCUGCCACCCUCCCUCACACACUCCCUUUUUCCCUACCGUAGCCCCACGUUCUUUCAUCCCACUCCAUCGACAGCCCCUUUCUCUAGUUUGUUGCAUUUGCUGCCAUUAUCAACCCAACAGCUCCUUGGCCACACGCCAUCACCACCACAACCGCUCAACUUGAUCAUCAACGCCAUCAUCUCCAUUAUUUCACCACCCAACGACUAGUAGCUACCACUCAUCCCAACGUCAUCUUAGCAGCGCCUGUCCCCGCUGCUAGCUUCGUCCAACAGCCGCACCAUCACCGCCGAGUAGCCACCACACCUUAGCCACCAGCGCACCACCAAGCUAAGACCAGCUUAGCCCGCCUCAACCCCAAACCGAGCUGAACUGACCCCUUCGUCGUGAGCCUUGUAGGGUCGUUUCCUCUGCCGUUGAGCCUUGGUUGGAGACAUGGUAGUCUCGGUUUCUCACGGCCGUCACGAUCUUGUAAGAUUAUUCAUAAGCUGCUUAUCUGGAGUGGCGUGAACGCGAUCUUGCGAUACAGUCUCCCUUUUAUAUGGUAUACUAUUCUACUGUAUAUUAAAUGGAAGUUUGUUAUGCUUUUGUUUUUUCUGGAGAAUUUAACAGCAACUAUAUUGAUGAAAGAAGGUUGAAGUUCCACGUAACCCAUUUAUGCAAAUUGCAAAAAGUGCGUCUGGAAACUGGUUGAUUUUUGGAUAUCUGGUACCAAUGCUGGAUGGGAGCGUGAUUUUGAUGUCACCGUUAGUUUGUGGUUUGAUGCGCAAGUGUGAAUGUGUGUGGGAUAUAUUUGGUACAGGAAUAAGAAGGGGACAAGGUAUAUAAAUUCAAGAUUUUAUGGGACAAGGAUAGUCUGGUUAGUUUAACCAAAUAGUCGUACAAGUGAAGAAGUAAUGAUGGAGGAGCAUAUGUAUUUUAUGCUGAGCUCCGAACACGGUGGAGCAUGACUCCCCACUUACUCCACGCUCAAUCCCAUCUCCACUUAUAGAGCACAUCCACCGCCUUAGAAUAUUUACCAUAAUUCCUAACUGCCACAAAAUAUGUAGAAAAUUACUAAAAAAGUUGUAAACUUAUUGUACUCAUGCAAAUUAAAUCUUCUCUUAAUUUGACCAACUUAAAUAUAGACCUUUUGUGGUCAGUAUAGUUGUAAAAUUUUUACUUAUGUCAAUUUUGUCAUAUAUAUUUCGAUGAUUUGCUAAUUUAAUCAUUUCAAUUAAUCUUGGUUGGAAAAUGCUAACUCAAUAAGUAAACUAUUCAAUUUUGUCAAUUUUGUCCUAAACAAUUCUUUUGUAGUUUUGUGAACUUUUUUCUGAAUUUUUUAUUCAUUUUUUUUUUCAUUCUUUUUUUCAACUCUUGGCCAGCUAGGUUGUAGAAGUUGUUGGCCACAGGAGUAGGCCAGCGACCCUCGCCUGGCCUAGGUGAGGGCAUCAUGGCCCUCAUCGUCCAAGAGUUGAAAAAAAAUAAAAAAAAAAUAAAAGUAAUGAAAUAUUCAAAAAAUAAAAAAGUGCAAAAAAUUAUUCACAUUAAUGUAAACCAUGCCACAUAGGAUGGCUAGUUGUUAACCAUACUUGCAUGUUACCUUUUUUCGGUCAAGAUUAAUUGCAAAGACUAAAGUGGCAUAAUUAAAAAGGUUUAACAUGCAAUUGUCAAAUUGUUAAACGGUUUAUGACUAAAUUGAUAUAAUUAAAAGAUUUUAAGAAUUAGUAUAAUGCAAUAAGUUUAUGAUUUUUUAAGGAAUUUUCCUCAAAAUAAACUAGAACCAUAAACUUUAACUACCUCCUAAGACUAGAUUUCUACAUGCUACCCUAUUCUAGAAGUUGGAUUACAAAUUCCAACAAAACCUAAAGUUCCUAACCAUAGGUCUCCUUUGCCUAACAAUCCAGUCCUAGGAAGUUGAGCCGAUUUGCCUUUCUAUCUCGUGGUUGGACUUCUCUUGAUUACAUUGUCGACUUUAGCUGAAAAAAUAGAAGAAGAAAAGAAAUACUCAAAACGAUAGCUCUCCACAUAAAUUAGGUCGGCCAUUCAAAAUAUCGAAUUCUACUAGAGUGUGAUCGAUGUUAAGUUGAAAUCCCAUGCUCAUGCUUCGAUAAAUGUCGCGGAAUAAGAAAAGUAGCUGAGGCAUCAUUUUCCUCUGCAACUAGUUUAGAAGGUGUCUCUGGACCUUCGUCAGGUACCACCCGUUCAUAGAUUGUUCAUGACGUUCAUCGCUGAUUUCUUUUGGGCGCACCCAGGAUUUUCAUCGGUAUUCUUCCCACUAUAAUCCUGUGGUGUCCCUAUCUCUAUAAAGGGUUCUCUCUCAUGCUAUUAACAUUGUUCGCGAGUGCCCAUGUGCUGAUUUUUGCAGCAUCUAUGAUUCUCAAUGCCGACCCCAGCUGAUUUUGUUGUUGGACCUACGUAAACAAAGAAAUUGUAUUGCGGACGUCGGAUCACGUAAUGCCUACGUAGAACCUACGUUAGAAACAUUGCAAUGUCAGAAACUAGGAACAAAGGCAGAAGGAAUUUCAGAUGUGAAAUCUGUCUUAAGAUUGAUGCCAAACAACAGAUUUUUAAUCAAUGCCAGUGUUGGGGUUUUUUUGAAGGAAAUCUUUGGUUGACAUAUGUGACAUGUCACAAUGACACUCGGCGUAUAGGACUUGAUUAAGUGAAAACAAAGGAGCUUUGAUGCGGUAACAAUAAAGUGAGCGACCAUUUGAAGGUGAAUAGGAAGAGGAGUAAAAUAAGCAAGGUGAAUAUGAAUGGCAUUAAAGGGGCGUCAAGAGAAAAUGACCCAAAAGAAGAGAAGACAAGAAGAAAAGACUAGGAAAAUGGAAAAGAUAUGGAUGAUCCGUACAUGUCACGACUAGACUCGGAUAAUUACGUUGUCGAGAGAGAGAGAGAGAGAGAGAGAGAGAGAGAGAGAGAGAGAGAGAGAGCACUCACGUAUGCUUUUCUUAUUUUUGACUUAAUGAAAGCCACAUAGACUAUUUAUGGAACAUAGAAAGACAGUUCAAAUCCCAAACUACCUUAUUUAACACCUCCUUAUUUUAUUUUUGGUCGAAAUAACAACCCCUUAUUAACUAGUGAUAAUUAAGUCCACUAGCUAAUGCUUCAACACCGAGAAUACAUAGACUGUUCAUGACUUAAACUAAUAGUACCUCCCUAGCGAUGCAGACCAAGCACAUAUAACAUAUGCUUAACUCUUCAACGAUAGAUAGCAUUUAGCUUCAUCUCCUUUCGGAGCUUUCAUAACAAUCAAAAGUGUUGACACCUAGUGUUGACACCUAGAUUUUGAUGGUUCGUUUAGUUAUUUAUUGCAUUAAAAAUUAGGGUUUAAUUUUAUCAAUAUAUAUAUAUUAAUUGCGUAGCAUAUAGAUUUAGGUGCAUUUUUUAUUUUAUUUUAAUUGUCGUUUUAUUUUUUGGACCGGUGCGGAUGGGUUCAAAUUAGUUAGAUUAAGCCCACGAAAGAAGCAAAUUAGCCCAAGCCCGUUGCUUUUUAAUUAAUUAAUUAUCUUAUGAAAAAUUGAGAUUAGAUGCGAUAUUACGGUAGUUUUUGACAUUUAAAAAAAAUAUUGCAAUAUUAUCUUUAGUCUUUUAGUGGUAAAAUCAUUGGGAAUAUUAAAAAGGAUAAUGAAUAAUCUAAAAUAUUUUGUUGCGGAUAGAGAUUUCGAAAGAUUUUAGAGUUGGAUAAUGGAGCUUGAGUGAAUUAUCUGAAAAAUCUUCACAAAAAAAAUUAAAUUAUCUUCAAUCGCUGAGUCAAUAUAUUUGGUAGAAGAGAUUGAUUCAUUUUUUUGCUCUAUAAAAGGGGGGCCAUACGUUGAAUAAAGAGGGGGUACAAUAGGGGGCUUUUCGAGGGUUCUCUUCGUCGAAAGGGGGAAAAAAGAAGUGAAAAGUAAAAAGAAAAGAAAGAGAGAGAGUACGAAGGCAGAGGAUAGUGUGCGGCUGCAGAGAAGAGAAGCGUAAAGGCAGAAGAAUAGGGGGGUGAUUUGACCCCUAUGUUCAUCAUCUCCCCAAGCUUGCUGCCCACGUUGCUGCUCCAUCCGCGACGCCCGUUGCUGCUCGAUCCGCGACUGCCCAGAGCUCCUCUGUCUCACCGCGCGAUUACCGCCGUUCACCGCACCACGCCAUCACCGCCCUCUGCUCAGUCCCUGCACUCGCUCGGAGCCGCGCCGGAGCCACUCCUCACCCGCCGCCUCUACAACGCCGGUAGUCCGCGACCCACCUCGACCGCACUCUCCGGCCCACCGAAGCUCUACCGAGACCGAACUCGAACCAGAUCUGCCCAACGCCGCCCCUACUCAGCCCGUGCUGACCCGCGACAAUCAGGUGCCCCUGCAGCUGCCAUCCCCUCGCCUUGGCCGCUCGUCAGCCUCGCGUCCCCGACGCCCGUGAAGCUCCACAUCACACCCACAGCCGCGAAGCCACCGAGCCGCACCGGUCGCCUCACCAGCACCAUCUCACAUCGGUGACCCGCGACCCCAUUGCACACCGCUCGGACCUCCGCCUCCGCAACGCCUCCCCGGCCUCGCCUGAACUGCGAUCCACCUGCUACUCGGAGCCGAAGACCCGUGCGCCGCCGUCGUCCAGCCUCCAAAAGUCCGAGCCAUCCCUACCACCGGCUGACCCACGAUUCCGACUGCUCGCUGCCGCCCGAGCCGCCAUGACGAACCCACUCCAGUUGCAGCGCUCGUCUCCCUCACGACGACCUAGGCGCCGACCGCCGCGACACCACCCCCGUCGCUUGAGUCGAGCCCACUCACAGCCCGACGCCAAUUCUCCGCCAUCGCUCGCCGCCGAUCAGCCCGUCGCUGGUCUUCGCCGGAGCUCUGAACGCCAGCAACUCAACCCCCGGUCAUCCACCGAAGCCACUCGGCCGUGGGUGAAGAAAGCAGGAAAAGAAAAAAAGAAAAAGAAAUCCAAUUAGGUAGAUUAGUUUAUUAUUAUUAGUAUUAUUAUUAUUCUCGUUUAUUUAUUGUGCUUUAUUUGAUAGCUUUCUUUAAUUCAUUUACGUUGCAAUAUUGGAUGUCGAUGCUUAUUUCAAAAUAUCUUACCGGCAUUAUCCAUAGGGGUGUUCUCUAAAAUUAUUGUAAUUAUGAAUUUGAUCCGUAAGAUGUCGGAUCAUUUUUUUAAUUAUAUUAAUUCUCGGGAUUUGUUGAUAGUACUUUAAUUUUUGAAUCAAUAUAAUUAUUAAUUUUAUCCGUAAGAAUUCAGAUCAGAUUUUUAGUUAUUUUGAACUCUUUGUCGUGAUAAUUAGGGUUAGGAUAAUCGUUAAUUUGACCUAUGAGAUAAUAUGUUAUUUUUUCGAUUAUUUUAAUUAUUUAUUUGAUUGAAUGUCUUGAUUUUUUAGAUUUAAUGUUUAGUUGAUAAUUGCUUGUUUUUUUUUAAAACCACUAAAAAAUCUAAAAAAUAUUUGAAUUAGGAUUCAGUUUGUUUUGGAAUAUUUCUUGUUAUCUUGCAUAUCUAGAAUAGGGAUUUUAUUCCGAAUUUAGGAAAAUAUAAAAAAACAAAAAACAAAAAAUGCAUUCAUUUAGGUUAUUAGUUUUAUCAUUAAUUUAAUUGCAUAUGAAAUUUUAAUAAUUAAUAUAAAAACUAAAAAAAAAAAUCAUCAUACAUAUAUCAUGUUGAAUCAUGGCAUUCUUUGCAUGUCAUUGCAUGUUAGAAUUGCAUGUUUAUCAAUUAUAGGUAGAUAAUCUCUCCUAGAUAAAUUGCAUGUUUUGUUAAGAAAAUAAAAAUGUAAGUCCAUGAAAUGCACGUCAUUUUAGUGAUUAUUGUUAGGUUCAUUUCUAAUUAGAAAUUGCCCUUCAUUAGAUUAUGUCAUUUAAUAAAUGUCGCGUGACAUAUAGCUCGCAUAUUAAAUUGUAUGUCGCAUGUCAUUUUAGUUUAAAUAAUUUUGUAUGUCAUUGCAUAGCAUUGCAUGUUAUUAGAAUUAGGUCAUUUAGAUUGCAUUUAAUUAUUGCGCUUCUUCAUAUCAUAUAGUUUAGGUCGUGCUGCCAUGUCAUAUUAGAUUAUUAGCACGCAUUGCAUGAUUUUCAUUAAAAAAAACGAAAACCAGAAAAGAAAUUGCGUGUUAAUUAGAAACCAUAUCUAGGGUUGUUGAUGUGGAUUUUAAUUUAACACUGCAGAUGCUUUCGUCGUUGCUUUGAGGUAAGUUUCUUGAGUGUUAAAUUGGUGGUAUGCGCACACGUAUGAUCACUUCACAUGUUAGGAAGUUAAAUUAAAAUCAAUUCAAUUGCCAAACACUUUUUUGAAAAUGAAAUAAAAAGGUACCGAAAUGGCACUAAGAUAGUCUGGUGUAACCAAGUCCCUGAACUCAUAAAUCUUUGGUUCAUGCUAAGAUUACACAUUGAAUUUCUGGUAGUAGAUCCAUAAUCAAAAAAGUGUUUGUGAUUGUUCCAGAAGAAAUGAAACAAAAGAUAUGGUAGAGCUAGGACAGUUAUUGUAUGAAGUCUACCCAAUGCUAGAUGCAGAGGCGCAUAAUAGAUCGAUAUGAACAUCAUGAGCUGUCCCGCAAUAAAACCCGUUGUUGCUGAUACCUUCUUCUCGGUUCCUUCUUCUCCUUCUUCCAGAACCCGAGCUCGGAGAAGGAAGAGAUUCGUAGAAGUAAAGUAAAUCUCUCGUUACUUUACUUGGGUUUCUAAUCAACCCACCAAAAAUAGAUUAGUGGCGACUCCUGAUUGAAAAUCAUUUGCAUGUUAAAAAUUCAAACCUAAGUCGUGAAUUGGUAUGGGUUUGGGAGAGCCCAAGUUAAGCUUAAAGACUUAGUAAUUCAUUAACCUAUAGUUUUAGAUGGUGAACCCGAAAAAUCUGGUCGCAACAAAAGACUUAGGGAUAAUCAAACCAAGUCCAAGAGGAGAUUUUCAGCGUGCUUUGUUGUUCACCUGUGUCUAGGAGAAGCAGGGUUUGGCGACGACAACAAGGUUUUCGAUCCUAUGCAUUGUGAUGCCAAAAGCUUCUUCCAUAUCCAAAUCUUUUGGGUGGACACCAGGAGGAAGUUGCCAAUCGAAACUGUGAAGAAGUUGAGCUAAAGCAAUCUCAACACUGGCAUUUCCAAAUGUGAUAGCGGGGCAGCUUCUUCGACCUGCGCCAAAUGGUAUCAGCUCGAAGUCCUGUCCCUUGAAGUCGAUGGUGCUAUCCAAAAACCUUUCUGGUAGAAAUGCUUCAGGAUCAACCCAGGAUUGUGGAUCACGCCCUAUUGACCAAGCGUUAACAAAGAAACGCGUUUUUGCCGGAAUGCAGUAUCCAUCAAUUAUUACGUCCUCCAUGGAUUCUCUUGGGAGUAACACAGGAGCAGGAGGAUGCAGUCGGAAUACCUCCUUGAUGAUAGCCUUCAAGUAUGGUAAUUGAGGUAGGUCAGUCUCUUGCACGUAUUUGCUCUCUCCCACGACGCUUCGCAGUUCGGCUUGUGCUCUUUUGAUGGCUUUAGGGUUCAUGACAAGCUCUGUCAUUGCCCAGUCAAGAGUGAUGAAUGUUGUACCUGUUCCUGCUGCAAAAAAAUCCUGCAACAUGCAUGUUAGGUAUGCUUUGCUAUGCAAACUUUAUGGCAUAUUGAAGAUGAUCAUUGGAAGGGGCUCGGGCGAGUCGAGUUCUUAUGUUGGGCCUAACAUGUUGCUCAACUGUACUCAUUGCAAAAGAAGACCGCACGUAUACUUCUUUAGGCCAGACAUCGCUUGGCUUGGCUUGAGUUGAACCUUUUAUUAAAUGGCUACACUAUCUCAUCUAUUCUCUAAAGUUGAAAAGUCAAAAUAACAACAAUUUUUAAUUUUAUUUAUUCCUAUUUUUAAUUAUAUAUUUGAAUUUCUUUUUAUCACAGAAUAUGUAUUCAAUUUAUAUAUUGAGUAUCUAUAUCUGUUACAUAUUUUAGGUAUAUUAGUAUAGUUCACAUUUUAAAAAAAAAAUUAAUAAAGAAAAUGGAAGGGAAAAAAAUAAAAAAAAUAAAAAAAAGAGAGGGAAAAUAAUAGAUAACAAGUAAAUAAAAAUGAAGUAGGCAAGAGUAUGAGAAAUUCUUACUAUCUCCAUUUGUGCAUUUUUAGGUUUAUCUAUGCUAACAUACCUGUCAUACUAAAUAAUUGAACAUUGGGAUAUGAAGAUAUUUGAUUUUAUUAUUGCGAUUCAUAAACAAUGGACUUGUUAUAGCAAAAUCCUUGAAUUUCAUAUCCUAUCUUAUCUUCCUAUUUUGAUUAGAAAUCUAGGAGAAAAAUGCAAUCUAAAAACUUAAAUGGAAUGUCAAGCUAUAGGGGAGAAUGAUUUACCGACCAAGAAGAGGGCUUUAACGUUGGCUCUUGUAAGGGGCAUGUCACCGUAACCAUUCUUCUCGAUAUCGAUCAAAACAUCCACAAUGUCCUUCUGCCCCUCCAUAGCUGUGCUUUCAUUCAAAUGUUCUCUCAGUAUCUCGUCAAAAAGAUUGUCGAAGCGCUUAAAAGUGUGUUGAAGUCUAGACUUCAUCCCAGUUUGCCGAAUGAAUUCCAUGGAAGGAAAGAAAUCUCCCAUGCUGAAUCCCCCAAGCAGCUCCUGAAACUCCUUUAGCAUCUUUUGAAAUCCACGCUUAUCAUAAUCCCCUCCUGCUGAAAAGCCCCUCCCAAAAGCGCUCCGGCAAAGAACGUCAUUUGCAUAUAACCCAAGCAGUUUGGAAAGAUUUAUGGUGCCUGGACAAGACUCCGCAAUCCGAUGAAUUAAACGAGCAACUUCUUCCUCCCUGACAUGACCAAAUGACUGAACCCGUUUUCCGCUAAGCACUUCGAGUAUGCAGAUUUUCCUUAUGUGCCUCCAAUAAGCGCCAUAGGGAGAGAAGGCCAUGUCUGUGCAGUCAUAAAACAAGUGCUUGGCAGAGAAGAUCUGAGGGCGGUUCGCGAGCACUAGGUCAUGGGUUUUCAUCACCUCCUUGGCCAUUGCGGCUGAGGAAACGACUAUGGUCGGGACUUCGCCGAGCUGCAUGGACAUGAUUGGCCCGUACUUUCUCGCUAGGCGAUGCAGAGAUAUGUGUGGCGAUUUGCCAAGCUGGGGAAGAUUGCCGAUGAUCGGCAACUUAGGAGGGCUCGGUGGGAGGUUGCUCUUUCUUUUCCUAGACUUGCUCCUCAAGAGAACUAUCAGCAAAGCUGCUACGACCAAGCAUGUUGGGAGAAA